AUUGAACGCUGGCGGAAUGCUUUACACAUGCAAGUCGAACGGCAGCACGAGGGCAACCUUGGUGGCGAGUGGCGAACGGGUGAGUAAUACAUCGGAACGUGCCCAGUCGCGGGGGAGUAACGUAGCGAAAGCUACGCUAAUACCGCAUACGAUCUAUGGAUGAAAGCGGGGGACCGUAAGGCCUCGCGCGAUUGGAGCGGCCGAUGGCAGAUUAGGUAGUUGGUGGGGUAAAGGACUCACCAAGCCUGCGAUCUGUAGCUGGUCUGAGAGGACGACCAGCCACACUGGAACUGAGACACGGUCCAGACUCCUACGGGAGGCAGCAGUGGGGAAUUUUGGACAAUGGGCGCAAGCCUGAUCCAGCCAUUCCGCGUGCAGGAUGAAGGCCUUCGGUU
rnacentral:rRNA from 1 species